rnacentral:misc_RNA from 1 species
AAGGUACCUAAACAUUUUUGGGCUAAUGCAGUAUCCACGACUUGUUUUCUAAUUAACCGUAUGCCAUCAUUUGUCCUUCACGGUGACAUUCAUUAUAAUGUGUUGCUUCCCUCUAAGUCUUUGUUUCCCAUUGAACCUCGUAUCUUUGAGUGCAGUUGUUUUAUUCGUGAUGUUCGUCCGUAAGUUACCAAAUUAGAUCCCAAGUCUUUCAAGUGUAUCUUUCAUAGGUACUCUCAUCUUCAAAAGGGGUAUUGGUGUUUUUCUCCUACUCUCAAUAAAUAUAUUGUCUACUGAUGCUAUAUUUUUUUAGUUUACCCCAUUUUUUUCUCAAUCAUUUGUGUAUGACAGUCAGGGGGAGGAGGAUAAUCUCUUAAUAUAUACUACGUCUA